GUGCUGUGAAGAACUAAUUUUUGUGUUCCAAAGAUAGUGUCUCUCAUGACAGUGUCUGUGAUGGCACACUAUCCUCUAAGAAGUUCUGAGCAC